CAGACAUUGGAUGAAUUUUCAUUUUGCAGAAGAAACAGACAAUGGACUUGCCACAGCAAUCUGCCACUGCUAACUCAAACAGCGCUGAAGGAUAAGUACAACUCCCCAUCAGGCUGCAAAUGAAGAACAACAGUUAAAAUCUCUCCGCUUGAAAGCUUGCUGCACAUGCUCACUUCCCUUUCUGUCGUCUUUGCUCUUCUGUGACAAAUGUGCUCAUGAAGCUCUGAAAACUGCACUGGAUUUGGCCUGGCAGAUGAGGUGGUAUCAAAGCAAGAUACAAGGAUGAAGACGAUCAAAAAGCACAUCCAGAGGAGAUUGCAGUUAAUCGUCAUCACCAGACUCACAUGAGUAUGCAAUCCUGUCAUUUCCACAAGUGUAGAGGAUCAGGCAUGGGAAUAGCUGGACAAGGGACAGGGAGGACAUGGUACGUACUCUGACAAUUUUUAAUUUAACAAGUGACUGGUAAUAGUUUGUGACUGUGAAGCAAGUUCUGUCUUAACAUCCUGCAAGGGAAGGAACUGGAUUACAAAAAAUGUAGAGCUUUACUGAAGUAAAGGUGAGUGUCUGAAGUCAGCAGUAGGGAAAACCAUCCUAGGUCCCUCUUUGCUGGGCUAUAAAACCUAGUUCUCCUCCAUCGACACGGUGUUAUAGAAAUAGCUUUUACAGACAGGUGUGGGUUUUUUUUCAGACUUGAAAGCUGUAAAAUUCAGGAGGCCAUGGGAAAGCUAUCAGAACACUUCAUCUAGCAAGUGUAUUGUUAAAGUCUGUGAAACUGGCAAAGAGCUGCUCACUCUCCUCAUUUCAAAAUCAGCAGGGUAAACUGCUCCAUUAAAAAAAUCAGUUUAAGAGUUGAAAAAAAAAAAAAAAAUCUUCCUGAUAUCUAGCAGUACUUUUUGGCAUGGUUUACACAUAGUCAAGCAACACUUUCUCACACACAGCAAAUGAUAUGGAGCCUAUAGAUCUUUGUCUUCCAUUUUCCUUGGAAAACGCAAUGUU